GCCAAAGGUGGUUCAGCAGAUAAGCACAACUGGUUUUUCUCCACAGCUGUGCAUGUUUCCUCAGCAAAACAUAAAGACCUUCUUUCCUUUCCUGUCAGGGAAAGGGAUUCCCAGAGAAAAGAGAAAGCUAGUGAUCUGCAGCUCCCUGGUUGCACAAAGAAGAUAUUCUUUGGGGAAGAUGGACAUGAAAAUUAACCAAGAAUGCAUGCUCUGAACAAUCUCCUUUGUCUACAUGUAUUAAAUUCCCAUCACUUUAAACACUGUCGGACUGGUUUUGCUACACUGUAGGGGCAGGCCAAGCAUGCUGGUGGAGUGUGAAUGUCUGCCUGUAUUUAUCACCAGACAAGAAUAAGCAAAAGUGUUCUGAGCUGUGAAUCAAAAGCCCUUUCUAUCGCAUGGGCCAAGGUCCAAGACUCCUUGUGAAUGAGACUAAAAGGAAGUAACAGUCCAGCUCAGAGCCUUUCACUAAGCAUAACUCUACAGAUCCAGGAAAGAAAACAUGGGCUAGUCCAAGCCAGGGGAGCAUCUUCACUGGAGGAAACGAAUUCCAUGGGCUCCAUCACAAGCACCAGCAAGUCACCAACAGAAAGCUUUAUACUACAGGUUGCCCAGUGCAGAAAAGCAGUAAGGUGUUUGUGCCUGCUGCUCCAAUGGUCAUGUCAAAAGAGUCUAGUGUGUGUGUCUGUCUGUCUGUCUCUGUCCAUCUCUGUCUCUGACUCUGUGUGUGUGUGUGUCUGUCUGUCUCUAAUGUAGGAAGAUACUAACCUACCCAAGAUGCACAGAAAGAACUUUCUCAACCCAUCUUGUAAGACUGUGUAAACCCAGCGAAACAAACGCCGGCACUGCUGAGUCUUAAAAGAAAACAAAUCUUCAUCCGGUUUUAUAAGGUUUCUUCAUUUGAAAGGAGAAAGGGUAGAGACAUCAGAUGACACAGCUUCCGUAUGUAUAGAUGCUACAAAACUAGCCAAGUGGUGGGUUGGGGGACUGGAAAUAGAUUUCUAUGUCAAUUAAAACAUAGGAAGACAUUGUCAUACAUCUAUUAGAAUGUCUGUUACUACUAUGAAAACCAAGUGCUGGCAAAGGCCUGGAGAAAAGAGAAACUUCAGAUGCUGUUGGUGAACACAAAAAUGAAUACAGCCACUGUGGAAAACUGUAUGCAGAGUCCUCAGAGGACUGAGAGGAGAAUGUGAUCCAGCAACCCCACUUGUAGAUACUGUCCAAGGAAUGAAUCAGAAUCUCCCAUGUUCCCUGAAGCGCCAUCCACUACAGCCAAGGAGUGGAGGCAGCCUGCAAGACUGCCAUCCUGUGCUACCACACUCCAAGACAGAAUACUAUUCCAUCUACACGAGAAGAAAUGCUGUCACACGGGACAACAUGAAUGAAACAGGGGAACUUGUGCUAAGCCAGAUAAACAGAAAGACAAAGACAGAUACUGUUCGAUCCCAUAUGUAGACUCUAAAUUAUUUGGACUCUUUGAAAAGGAUAAACUGUUUGCUGCUAGAGUCUAGUGAGAAGAGAAGGACUACUUGCGGGGCCAUGUUGACAAAAAAAAAAAAAGAAUUUGAAGUUUCAGUUAGAUGGGACAAAGAAGAUUCAAUAAUCUCAUGGUGGGGAGGGGGAACGGCUCAAUGGAUAAGGUACGUGCUGUACAAGUUCUGGGUGAGG